UAAAAAGAACCCAUGUCUUAUCAACGUUGCAAGCCUUUCCUUCGUCACGUCUCUGGCUUCUUCUUCCCACCUUCACCAUCCAUCUCCAACUUCUGUUGUGUAGCUGCAAUGGAAAGAAAUGUACUCAGUAAGACAAAUAAAAAGUUAAAAUUAAACACUAAAAAGUG